ensembl:lncRNA
UAACAAAGCACCACAGACUGGGUGGUUUAAACAACAGACAUUUAUUUCUUACAGUUCUGGAGGCAGGGAAGUCCAAGUUCAAGGUGCUGGCCAAUUUGGUUCCUGCCCACCUCAGCUAGCUGUUAUGGAGAAUGUUUGUGUGAGCAAAUGUCAUAACCGCCAAGAGUCUGGACUCCAAGAUAAUGACAGGCAUUUCUAUUCCCUGAGACACAGCAAUAUUGAAAUUAGGACAAUGAAUAAUGCUAUGAUAGUCUCCAACUGUUCAAGUGAAAGAAAGAGUUCAGCAUCUCUCGCUUUAAAUCAAAAGCCAGAAAUGAUUAGGCUUAGUGAGAGGAAAAGAUUCUGAUGCUGGGAAAGAUUGAAGGCAGAAGGAGAAGGGGACGACAGAGGAUGAGAUGGUUGGAUGGCAUUGCUGACUUAAUGGACACGAGUUUGAGCAAACUCUAGGAGACAGUAAAGGACGGGGAAGCCUGGCAUGCUAUGGUCCACGGGAUCAGAGAGUUGAACGCGACUUAGCGAUGGAACAACAACGGUG